rnacentral:rRNA from 1 species
CUUACGAGGUCCAGAUGAAAUAAGGAUUGACAGGUUGAGAGCUCUUUCUUGAUUUUUCAGGUGGUGGUGCAUGGCCGUUCUUAGUUCGUGGGGUGACUUGUCUGCUUAAUUGCGAUAACGAGCGAGACCUUCCUCUGCUAAAUAGCCCGGCUAGCUUUGGCUGGUCGCUGGCUUCUUAGAGAGACUAUCGACUCAAGUCGAUGGAAGUUGGAGGCAAUAACAGGUCUGUGAUGCCCUUAGAUGUUCUCGGCCACACGCGUAUUACACUGCGUGAGGCAACGAGUUAUUCACCUUGAUCGAAAGAUUUGGGUAAUCUUGUUAAACUCACGCGUGCUGGGGAUAGAGCAUUGCAAUUAUUGCUCUUCAACGAGGAAUGCCUAGUAAGCGUAUUUCAUCAAAAUGCGCUGAUUACGUCCCUGACCUUUGUACACACCGCCCGUCGCUACUACCGAUUGAAUGGCUCAGUGAGAAAUCCGGACUGGCUCGAGGAGAUUGGCAACGAUCACCCCAAGCCGGAAAGUUCUUCAAACUCGGUCAUUUAGAGGAAGUAAAAGUCGUAACAAGGU